CUACUGGAUUCAGCGGCGGACGGGUGAGUAAUGCUUAGGAAUCUGCCUAUUAGUGGGGGACAACGUUCCGAAAGGAGCGCUAAUACCGCAUACGUCCUACGGGAGAAAGCAGGGGACCUUCGGGCCUUGCGCUAAUAGAUGAGCCUAAGUCGGAUUAGCUAGUUGGUAGGGUAAAGGCCUACCAAGGCGACGAUCUGUAGCGGGUCUGAGAGGAUGAUCCGCCACACUGGGACUGAGACACGGCCCAGACUCCUACGGGAGGCAGCAGUGGGGAAUAUUGGACAAUGGGCGAAAGCCUGAUCCAGCCAUGCCGCGUGUGUGAAGAAGGCCUUUUGGUUGUAAAGCACUUUAAGCGAGGAGGAGGCUACCGAGAUUAAUACUCUUGGAUAGUGGACGUUACUCGCAGAAUAAGCACCGGCUAACUCUGUGCCAGCAGCCGCGGUAAUACAGAGGGUGCGAGCGUUAAUCGGAUUUACUGGGCGUAAAGCGUGCGUAGGCGGCCAAUUAAGUCGGAUGUGAAAUCCCCGAGCUUAACUUAGGAAUUGCAUUCGAUACUGGGAAGCUAGAGUAUGGGAGAGGAUGGUAGAAUUCCAGGUGUAGCGGUGAAAUGCGUAGAGAUCUGGAGGAAUACCGAUGGCGAAGGCAGCCAUCUGGCCUAAUACUGACGCUGAGGUACGAAAGCAUGGGGAGCAAACAGGAUUAGAUACCCUGGUAGUCCAUGCCGUAAACGAUGUCUACUA
rnacentral:rRNA from 1 species